AAAAAGCGGAGGAAAAGAAACCAACAGGGAUUGCCUCAGUAACGGCGAGUGAAGCGGCAACAGCUCAAAUUUGAAAUCUGGCUCUUUUAGGGUCCGAGUUGUAAUUUGUAGAAGAUGCUUUGGGUGUAGCUCCGGUCUAAGUUCCUUGGAACAGGACGUCAUAGAGGGUGAGAAUCCCGUAUGUGACUGGGUGCUUUCGCUCGUGUAAAGCUCUUUCGACGAGUCGAGUUGUUUGGGAAUGCAGCUCAAAAUGGGUGGUAUAUUUCAUCUAAAGCUAAAUAUUGGCCAGAGACCGAUAGCGCACAAGUAGAGUGAUCGAAAGAUGAAAAGCACUUUGGAAAGAGAGUUAAACAGUACGUGAAAUUGUUGAAAGGGAAGCGCUUGCAACCAGACUUGCGCGCUGUUGAUCAUCCGAGCUUUUGCCCGGUGCACUCGGCAGCGUUCAGGCCAGCAUCGGUUUUGGUGGGCGGAUAAAGGCCUUGGGAAUGUAGCUUCUUUCGGGGAGUGUUAUAGCCCUCGGUGCAAUGCGCCCUACCGGGACCGAGGACCGCGCUCGGCUAGGAUGCGGCGUAAAUGUG
rnacentral:rRNA from 1 species